UACGUAGGGGGCAAGCGUUGUCCGGAAUCAUUGGGCGUAAAGAGCUCGUAGGCGGCUUGUCGCGUCGACUGUGAAAUCUCAGGGCUCAACUCUGACAUUGCAGUCGAUACGGGCAGGCUAGAGUUCGGUAGGGGAGACUGGAAUCCUGGUGUAGCGGUGAAAUGCGCAGAUAUCAGGAGGAACACCGAUGGCGAAGGCAGGUCUCUGGGCCGAUACUGACGCUGAGGAGCGAAAGCGUGGGGAGCGAACAGG
rnacentral:rRNA from 1 species